rnacentral:rRNA from 1 species
AACGAACGCUGGCGGCGCGCAUAAUACAUGCAAGUCGAGCGAGAAGACGUAGCAAUACGUUUGUAAAGCGGCGAACGGGUGAGGAAUACAUGGGUAACCUACCCUCGAGUGGGGAAUAACUAGCCGAAACGUUAGNUAAUACCGCGUACGCUCCUUGGACUUCGGUUCAGGGAGGAAAGCGAUACCGUGGGUAUCGCGCUCUUGGAUGGGCCCAUGUCCUAUCAGCUUGUUGGUGAGGUAACGGCUCACCAAGGCUUCGACGGGUAGCUGGUCUGAGAGGACGAUCAGCCACACUGGCACUGCGACACGGGCCAGACUCCUACGGGAGGCAGCAGUAAGGAAUAUUGCGCAAUGGGCGAAAGCCUGACGCAGCGACGCCGCGUGGGGGAUGAAGGUCUUCGGAUUGUAAACCCCUUUCGGGAGGGAAGAUGGAAUGGGGUAACCCAUUCGGACGGUACCUCCAGAAGCAGCCACGGCUAACUUCGUG